rnacentral:rRNA from 1 species
UACAGAGGUGGCAAGCGUUGUUCGGAAUUACUGGGCGUAAAGGGCGCGUAGGCGGUCUUGUAAGUCUUGUGUGAAAUCCCUCGGCUUAACUGAGGAACUGCACGAGAUACUGCGAGACUUGAGUUCGGGAGAGGAAAGCGGAAUUCCGGGUGUAGCGGUGAAAUUCGUAGAUAUUAGGAAGAACACCGGUGGCGAAGGCGGCCCACUGGAUCGGUACUGACGCUGAGGUGCGAAAGCGUGGGGAGCAAACAGG